UGGGGAAUCUUGCGCAAUGGGCGAAAGCCUGACGCAGCAACGCCGCGUGUGUGAUGAAGGUCUUCGGAUCGUAAAGCACUGUCGGGAGGGACGAACAAGCCUGUGGCCAAUAUCCACGGGCCUUGACGGUACCUCCAAAGGAAGCACCGGCUAACUCUGUGCCAGCAGCCGCGGUAAUACAGAGGGUGCUAGCGUUGUUCGGAAUUAUUGGGCGUAAAGCGCGUGUAGGCGGCCUAGCAAGUUGGGUGUGAAAGCCCUCGGCUUAACCGAGGAAGUGCGCCCAAAACUACAAGGCUUGAGUACCGGAGAGGAUGGUGGAAUUCCCGGUGUAGAGGUGAAAUUCGUAGAUAUCGGGAGGAACACCAGUGGCGAAGGCGGCCAUCUGGACGGCUACUGACGCUGAGACGCGAAAGCGUGGGGAGCAAACAG
rnacentral:rRNA from 1 species